GGGGGUGAAACGGAUUCGACGGGGAUAUGAAAGCUCAACGUUGCAUGCCGAGUGUUCUGUCAGCUCGUAAACUUGAUGGAAAAUUAAUAUAAUCGCAGACGAUUAUAAUUUCGCAGUAGCAGCGUAAGCUGCUUUGCCGCUUUCCCGGUCCGCGCCCGUAAGGCCGGAGUAAAGCGUCGACUCUUCGGGCUGGUCUAACCGAUGUGCCUCUCAUUGGAAAGACGAGAAUCUAACAGGCUGGUAUUCAGCAAUCCACCGUUCCGGGUGAGAGCUGAAUACGAGAUCUUUACUCGGAACUAAGCAUGUAGAUACGUGAGGGGAGUAUUUUCGGACCCGGGUUCAACUCCCGGCACCUCCACCA
rnacentral:tmRNA from 1 species